GAUGUCUUCUUUGUCAUUUGCCCGCCAUUGCUCGGCUCUGCUUUUGUAGUGCCAUUAACACUGUUCCUGUCUUUAAAGAAGCACGGAAAUAUUCAAUUUGAUGAAAAUACACCAAAACCACGGACGCCAUGUCAGUAGACCUGGCCGUCGGCUGAGCCCGCGGCAUUCUUCACGUAGUAUCCUCUGCUGCUCUUCACCCACUUUAGACUUGAUUAGUUCUAUAUGUAGCCUACUGAAGUCCCAAGUUCAUUUGUUAUUGACCGGCGCCGGCCCAGUUGAUAGGAUGAGAUGUAUAUAUUACUAAACGGUUCAAGAAGACUGAAAUUAUAAGAGAAACUAAUAAAGAAAAACAAAAGAUUGUCCUUGGAAGUGAAUAUAACACAAUCGUAAGGAAGCAAUUAUUCAGCAAUAGUAAACUAUUGGAGCUAAUGAUGUCAUUUUAAAAUGAUAUGACAUUAUUUUAAUUAAUAGACUUGUACAAACUAUUUAUAGUUAUAAUACUACUGGAAUACAAGAACUUAAGGCGGAACAGUCAGUAUCAUCAUUUUAAAUAUUUUAUUAAUUUGUUUUUUUUAGAUUAAAACAUGUAAACAUGGACAUCAGUCUCAGUAAAGUUCAUGUAUAAACAGCUUAUUAUGAUUAAAUUUAUCACUUGGUAAUUGGCCUGGAGUGACUGCUUCCAUUUUGGCAACAUUUGUUUAAUUUUCAUAGUGAUUGAGACUUGACGAGUUCUAUAAUAGAAGUCACAACUUCAUUUGUUUUUGACACCGGCCCAGUUUUUAUUCAGGUAACAGGAUCAGAUGUAUCACUAAACGGUUCAAGAAGACUGAAAUUAUAAGAGAAACUAAUAAAGAAACACAAAAUAUUGUCCUUGGAAGUGAAUAUAACACAAUCGUAAGGAAGCAAUUAUUAAGCAAUAGUAAACUAUUGGAGCUAAUGAUGUCAUUUUAAAAUGUUAUAUAAUAAUACUACAGGAAUACAAAGAAUUCAAGGUGGAACAGUCAGUACUAUCAAUUUUACAAUUUUAAUAUGUUUUGUAAUUAAUUUGUUUGUUUAUUGUUUACUGUUGUGUUUGCUUAAGUUUUUAGUUAUUUU